rnacentral:rRNA from 1 species
AUACUUAGUGGCGGACGGGUGAGUAAUGCUUAAGAAUCUGCCUAGUAGUGGGGGAUAACUUGGGGAAACCCAAGCUAAUACCGCAUACGACCUACGGGUGAAAGGGGGCUUUUAGCUCUCGCUAUUAGAUGAGCCUAAGUCGGAUUAGCUGGUUGGUGGGGUAAAGGCCUACCAAGGCGACGAUCUGUAGCUGGUCUGAGAGGAUGAUCAGCCACACUGGGACUGAGACACGGCCCAG